UACGGAGGGGGCUAGCGUUGUUCGGAAUUACUGGGCGUAAAGCGCACGUAGGCGGACUGUUAAGUCGGGGGUGAAAUCCUGGGGCUCAACCUCAGAAUUGCCUCCGAUACUGUCGGGCUAGAGUGCGGAAGAGGCGAGUGGAAUUCCUGGUGUAGCGGUGAAAUGCGCAGAUAUCAGGAGGAACACCUAUUGCGAAGGCAGCUCGCUGGGACGUUACUGACGCUGAGACGCGAAAGCGUGGGGAGCA
rnacentral:rRNA from 1 species